rnacentral:rRNA from 1 species
AUUGAACGCUGGCGGCAGGCCUAACACAUGCAAGUCGAGCGGAUGACGGGAGCUUGCUCCUUGAUUCAGCGGCGGACGGGUGAGUAAUGCCUAGGAAUCUGCCUGGUAGUGGGGGACAACGUUUCGAAAGGAACGCUAAUACCGCAUACGUCCUACGGGAGAAAGCAGGGGACCUUCGGGCCUCGCGCUAUCAGAUGAGGCUAGGUCGGAUUAGCUAGUAGGUGAGGUAAUGGCUCACCUAGGCGACGAUCCGUAACUGGUCCGAGAGGAUGAUCAGUCACACUGGAACUGAGACACGGUCCAGACUCCUACGGGAGGCAGCAGUGGGGAAUAUUGGACAAUGGGCGAAAGCCUGAUCCAGCCAUGCCGCGUGUGUGAAGAAGGUCUUCGGAUUGUAAAGCACUUUAAGUUGGGAGGAAGGGCAGUAAGCUAAUACCUUGCUGUUUUGACGUUACCGACAGAAUAAGCACCGGCUAACUCUGUGCCAGCAGCCGCUGUAAGAC